CCGUGGGAGUUCGGUCCCGCCCACCCUGCGUGGCGGCUUGCGCACUUGCCGCGUUAAGGUCGGGUUGGAGGAAAUAGUCAGCCUGCGGUGUGUGUCUAAAGUGAAGGACGCGUCAGCAAUAAUGAGGCCCUAACCCCUGCCGGCCGGGCGGCCUCCCCAGCGCCCUCCCCGAAACUGUUUCGUUAGCUGAGUGUUUUUUUUUUUUUAAUAUUUAUUUGGCUGCACCGGGUUUUAGCUGCGGCGCGCGGGAUCUUCCUUGCUGCAUGCGGGAUCUUCCUUGCUGCAUGCGGGAUCUUUAGUUGCGGCAUGAUGGCCUGACUGACGUUUUCAACUGAGGUAACCAGCUGGCAUUAGCAGAACAAAUCCCUCCCCGUCUCUCCCUGAGGAGGCCAUCCAUCCUGAGGAACCAGCUGGAGGGAGCCAAGAUAAGUCCAAAGUGAAAUGUUUUUGGAGAGCCCACACAGGCACGAAGAAGGCACGCAGAGCCUGGAGUGUGGUGCUGGAGAGGGUAGAGAGGUCAGCCAAAGCUGCGCCUUGCAGAACGUGGCCCACCUCUUCACGAGAGAGGAUGCCGCUGCUCCGGAACCGCACAAACUGGCCCAGGGAGAGAAGCCCCAGACAUGUAGUGAUUCGGCAUCUCCUUCAUUCACAGAUAUUUGCUGUGCCCUGCCGGGCUCAGCACUGGGCUGGGGGCAUGGAUCUGAAGCCCACAGAACUCUGCCUUCAAGAGCUCAGUGUUGGAUGACAUUCUUCACACCACAGGACCAUCCUUUCUGCACUUACCAGGGUCAUGAGCCUCAAGAGCUCAGCUCUGAGGAAGGAAUUCUCUCCAGCAUCCAGGAGGGUAAAUAGCAAAAACCGAUUCCAGGGCUGGGAGGCCACAUGGAGUGCUAUGGGAAACACCAGUCAACCGUGCGUUGUUAAUGCUGCUUUUCCAAAGGCCUUGGAACAUUGCUAAAGAAAACUUUCUCCUAUUGGCUCAAAACAGGGUUGCUCAGCAAAGGCAGGGCAUUGGACAAGCUGACCCCAGUGGGUUUCUUUCUCCUCAGCUUCUAUCCACCCAUGCUGCCUGGCACAGGGAGACCACAUAUCCCACUAUUGUGGGAGGCAGGCAACAGGAAGAGCUCUGCCACUUAAGAGCUAUGUGACCUUGGUUGGGGCAAGUUGCUUAACCUCCCUGAACCUCAGUGUCCUCAUCUGUAUGAUGGGCAUGGCAGUACCUUGCAGUAUUGUUAAAAGAAUUAGACAAAAUGAGUGUGAAUCAGGGAGCUCCCUGGUGGCCUAAUGGUUAGGAUUCUGGGCUUUCACUGCCAUGGCCUGGGUUCAAUUCCUGGUUGGGGAACUGAGAUCCUGCAAGCCACGUGGCUCCGCCAAAAAAAUGAGUGUGAAUCACAGAACAGAGGAUGGGAGUCUGGGGUGGGAGGGUGGCAGGUGCUGGCCCCCUCCAAUCUCCCCCAGGGGAACAUCAGAGAAUGGGGAGG